UGAGGAGCAUGACUUUCGGCGGGGGAUAGCCGGCCCAACGGCCGGGUAAUACCGCGUACGACCUUUUGGGGACAUCCCUGAUUGGUGAAAGCAGCAAUGCGCCGAAAGGGUGCCUCGCGGCCUAUCAGCUAGUUGGCGAGGUAAUGGCUCACCAAGGCGACGACGGGUAGCCGGCCUGAGAGGGUGACCGGCCACACUGGGACUGAGGCACGGCCCAGACUCCUACGGGAGGCAG
rnacentral:rRNA from 1 species